rnacentral:rRNA from 1 species
GAUGAACGCUGGCGGCGUGCUUAACACAUGCAAGUCGAACGGAAAGGCCCUGCUUUUGUGGGGUGCUCGAGUGGCGAACGGGUGAGUAACACGUGAGUAACCUGCCCUUGACUUUGGGAUAACUUCAGGAAACUGGGGCUAAUACCGGAUAGGAGCUCCUGCUGCAUGGUGGGGGUUGGAAAGUUUCGGCGGUUGGGGAUGGACUCGCGGCUUAUCAGCUUGUUGGUGGGGUAGUGGCUUACCAAGGCUUUGACGGGUAGCCGGCCUGAGAGGGUGACCGGCCACAUUGGGACUGAGAUACGGCCCAGACUCCUACGGGAGGCAGCAGUGGGGAAUAUUGCACAAUGGGCGGAAGCCUGAGGCAGCAACGCCGCGUGCGGGAUGACGGCCUUCGGGUUGUAAACCGCUUUCGCCUGUGACGAAGCGUGAGUGACGGUAAUGGGUAAAGAAGCACCGGCUAACUACGUG